AGGGGAGCCGAGGCCCGGCGUGGGGAGGCCGGCAGGAAGGGCUGCGAGCCCAGCGCGGACCUUGCUUCAGCCUCCCAGCGGCCGAGCGCUGCGCUAGGCUGCCGCGCUGUGAGCACGCCCUGACUCCCUCAGACCUGGGCGGGCCGGAGCAGAAAUAGCGGCACCUGGACUUCGGCUAGCCCAGCGCCGGGCGCUGCGCCUCGAGCGCCGCGAGCCUCGGGGCGCGGAAUCCUGGCGUGAGAAAGCCGAGCUCUGGGACCCGCCCGGCGUGCACUCGCCGGAGAAGGCCUGGGCGCUUCGAGCCGGGUGGAGGCGUCGGAGCUCACUGAUUAGACAGGCUUUGUCUUCUCACGUUUCAGUCAGACCCGUCGCAGAGUUCUCAGAAUUCCCCUCAGAGGAGCAGCGAAAAGUUAGAGAACUGCAGACUGGUUUUUCUGUCAGCCAGGGAUGGGGAGGCAGCGGCCCCGGCCUCGGGUGCCGACGGGAACUUAGCGGAGGCUUGUCUGGUGAAAGGCGAUUCCAGGCACCGAAGGGUAGGGGCUUCACUUUUCCAAGUUAGAAGAAGCGGGAAGAAAGGGAGUGCGGGAUGGGGGUGGGGACGGCUGCGGUGAGCAGCCUCCAGAGAACUGGGCAGUUUCUCACGCGGGAUCUGCGGCGAGACCGCUGGGCACGCCCUCGCCGCGGGCGCCCUCAGAGCCGCCGGGCUGAGACGCGGGAGAAACCCUAAGUUGACCCGAGCAGACAGCCUCCUGCUACCUUGAAGGAGAAGUCUCCAAGGGUUGACAGAGCGGCAGGACAGGGGCUGGAACUCAGCUCGCUGGCCGCCACCAGGCUCCUUUCCCUUCACCAAGUUUGCGGCCGGGAAGAGAGAAAUCAUAAAAAAUAAAAUAGAUACUUGAAGAAGCCACAGCUGUAAUUAAAAAAUAAUAAUUUGACAGUGUUAGAAGGCAAAAUUAACUAACAAUUAUUAAGAAAUUACUAUGUGGUACACACCAUAUGUAUUGCAUUUUAUUUAAUUAUCAAACAAUAUAAUUACUAGAGCUAUUAUUAUCCCCAUUUUAUAGAAGAAGAAACUGAGAUUACUUACCUUAUUAAACUUGGUCAACUUCUUCUAACUUAUAAUUAAUACAUUAUAGAAAUAGGACUCAAACCCACAUAUGUUUACUUUAGACCCGAUGCAUCACAUAAACCUUCACAUGAAGUAUGCCACAUAAAUCACACUACUCCUGGCCAAUAACAAUUUUACUAAAUAGAUUAUUUGUUUUUUUGUCUGUAAAAGAAGGAUGUUGGCCUAGCUUAGCCAUCCUCAAUGUUUUUAACAAUCAAUAAAUGCAUUCAUCACACGUAAUAUUUUUUUAAUGUUCUGUAUUCAUGAUUGCAAAAUAACUAUGACUCAGUUACACUUUGAACUUAAUUUCAGUGCUAUUAAUUAAAACACAUCUGUAUACAUCUGAAAAAUACCAGUCGUGACAAUAGCACAGAGAGCUUGGUUUUGAAAAAUAAUUUAAAUUAUAAUUAAAAAUGAACCAAAGGUACAUAGAGAAGGUGUGGACCACCCAUAUGUGGCUGAAAGCUGACCCACAGUCAUCUUAAAUGGAUUUUAUCAAAAGACAUGCCUAAAAGACCACAGGAUCCCAACAGAGAGAGUCUGUGAAGAGAUGGCCUGCUGAGACCCAAAUCACAGUGAAGUACCGUUGAGAGAUCCUGCUAAUGAAUGGAGAGAGGAGUAAAUGGUCUGAAGAACCCUACAGGAAAUGAAACACCCGGCAAGGGAGAAAGACCAAGAGUCAGCUUUGACACCUCCCAAACCAGACAGCAGUCAAUGAUGGCAGCUCACAAAAGUACAAGCAUGCAGAAGCUUUCCUAUGCCCUCACAUCUCCUCUCUCCACCAUCUUAAAACCUGGUGUGGUUCAGAAACAGUGCUAAUUAGCAUUUGAGGAGAGGAAGAAGACAAGUUGGGAAAAUAGAGUAUCUAUCCAAGUCAUAGUGUAUACUACAGGGCUGCCUUCUGUUGCAUGGUUGAUUAGGCUACAGCACAACUGAAGAAGGAGAAGCCAUCUUGCCUCCAUGAUUAGACAAACAUGAAGAUAAAAGCUUCCCUGUGUGGAUGAUAGAGCAAAAUGAUAGAAUGGGCUCAGAUUCCCUUCCUUCAGACUUCUUGAUAUGUGAGGGAAAUAAAAUGCUCUAUAAGGUUAAGCUACAGAAAUGGGCUUCUAUUUUAUUCAGCUAAAUACGUCACAAUUCUGACAGUGUCCAUUAAAUUGGUAAAAGUAUCCACUUUAAAGGGUUAAUCUGAGGGA